UACGUAGGUGGCAAGCGUUGUCCGGAAUUCUUGGGCGUAAAGCGCGCGCAGGCGGUCCUUUAAGUCUGAUGUGAAAGCCCACGGCUCAACCGUGGAGGGUCAUUGGAAACUGGGGGACUUGAGUGCAGAAGAGGAAAGCGGAAUUCCACGUGUAGCGGUGAAAUGCGUAGAGAUGUGGAGGAACACCAGUGGCGAAGGCGGCUUUCUGGUCUGUAACUGACGCUGAGGCGCGAAAGCGUGGGGAGCAAACAGG
rnacentral:rRNA from 1 species